CUUAACACAGUUAAUGUAUUAACUUAUUUAUGUGUGUAUGCAUGUAUUUAUUGAUUUAUUUAGUGCUGUUAACAUAUCAGAGUUCUGAGUGAAUUUUUCUUAAGAUAGGCAAAGGCCAUUUAUUGAUUACAUAUAGGCUAUUAAAUGUUUAUUAAAAACUAAAAAGCAUUUAAAAAAACAACUUAGGCAUUUAUUGAGUCACUAAAAUACUGUAGAGUACAGACCACAUCAGCAUGAUUCUAAGCAUCCUCUGGUAAAUUAACAACCAGAUACUGAUGUCUCUCACCAUAUGGACUUCAGGAGAUGACUGGGGGAUGAUAAACUGUGACCUACUGGUUGGGUUCUCUCUGUUCUCAUGUUUCUUACAUGUUUGUCCCCUGACAGCCGGGUCCUAAUGUUUUUUGAGCAACACACCAUACUAUGACGUUUUUACAAUGAUGGUUCUACUAUGGAACCAGUUUGACAUGUUCAGGUGUUCUUUGUGUGAAAACUCAGAGAUUUCAGGGAUCAGAAGGUGGUUUUCAACUUUCUUUGUUAACUUUCUGCUUCAACUUUAAACUAAAUUUCCUUCACUAACCCAGCCCUCUGGACUUCCAGUAAGCUGUGUUCCUAUUGGCUGUCCAGGUGGCUGCUUGGUGUUAUCAGGAACACCUGAGCAGCUCACUGUCUUCCUGCUUUAUUUAGCUGCAGACAAACAUUUCCUCUGUUUCUCUUCACCAGUGAAUCGGGUUUGGCUCCGUUGCUUUAGUUUGUUCUUUAGGCGUCGGCUUGCAGCUUCCAGCAGUAAAAUCAUCUUUAAUGUGUUUCUUGGUGUGUUUUAGGGCUUUGUACUGGAUAGUUGUCUUGGUAAAUGUGGUUCUUUAGCCACAGUUAGCACAUGGUGCUAAUGUGUGCAGUGAUUAGUGGAUUUGGUGCAGCUGAGUUGUGUCUUUAUCUUGGCUGUGGUGAGUCUUUAGAGGUUUUUGGUCAGACACAUUCUGUAUUCUUGUUUGAGAACCAGCGUUGGUUGUCCAGAAGGUAAGAGUUCCUGUCCUGAUUCUCUGUUCUCAGAGGUUCUCUGGUAGGCUGCAGGAGACUUUAGCGUUUGGGUUGUGCUAGUUUGGUUUUUGUACGGUUUCAUUUGGACGACUAUCUUGAGGCUCCUCCAUAAACAUUUGUCAGUAGUUUGAGCAGAAGAAGGUGAGCUUCAGAGUAGAAAUGAGACAGAAACCUUCUUGACCCGUGUGGUGAGGUCCUGUACCAAGAGUUUGAGCAGGUUGUGAAGAGUCUGUAGUUCUUUGGUCUGAAAGCACAAGAAGA
ensembl:lncRNA